GACUCUCAACAAUGGAUUUCGCAUCUCUCACAUCGAUAAAGAACGUACCGAAAUGUGAUACUUAAUGUGAAUUGCAGAAUCCCGUGAAUCAUCGAGUCUUUGUACACAAUUUGCGCCUGAAGCCAUUAGGCCGAGGGCAUGUCUACCUAGGCGUAA